CGGAAGAUUGAAACGAUAACAUAUUAUUUUCUACAAAAUGGACACAUUAAAAAGAUUUGUUGUGAUAUUGGUGACUCUUUUUUGUUUAGCUCAGACAAUCUAUGGACACUUCGGGCCCGGUGGUUUCGGCGGCUUUGGUGGAUGGGGUGGUGGUUUUGGGGGGUUCUACAGACCCCCACCCCCUCCCCUAUUCUUCCCACCACCACCACCACCCCCGUUUUACCCGCCACCACCGUAUAUCUUCUAUGGGUGAUGCGUUAAUUAAUAUAAUUGACUGAUUUUUAAGUGGUAUCAAGUUACUUGUAGUUAUUUUUAAGGUGUGUUUUAGUGACUCUAUUGUACAGUUUUCACAAUAUUUCAAACUAUCAAUAUUGAGACUUGGUUAUUUUUAAGGUUUGUUUACUAAAUGGCUACUUAUUGUAAAGUUUUCUCAGUAUUUCAAAUUUUCUAAAUUAUUUGAAACUUUGAGUGAUUUAUGAAGUUCUAAAUUCAAUGGAGUUUGACGUUUUGAUGUAGGUUGAUGUUUGUAAUUUUCAAGUUAUUAAACUUGUAAGUUAAUAAAAAUUCAAAAGAUGUAA